rnacentral:rRNA from 1 species
AAUCAACGCUGGCGGCGUGCCUAACACAUGCAAGUCGAACGAGAAAGUGGAGCAAUCCAUGAGUAAAGUGGCGCACGGGUGAGUAACACGUGACUAACCUACCCUUGAGUGGGGGAUAACCUAGGGAAACCUGGGCUAAUACCGCAUAAUACCUUCGGGUCAAAGGAGCAAUUCGCUUAAGGAGGGGGUCGCGGCCGAUUAGUUAGUUGGCGGGGUAAUGGCCCACCAAGACUGUGAUCGGUAUCCGGCCUGAGAGGGCGCACGGACACACUGGAAC